rfam:Candidate division TM6 bacterium Zodletone_IIa NODE_736, whole genome shotgun sequence.
CGCCCUUAGAGUUUGAUCAUGGCUCAGAAUGAACGCUGGCGGCGCGCCUAACACAUGCAAGUCGAGCGAGAAAGUUUCUUCGGAAAUGAGUACAGCGGCGGACGGGUGAGUAACACGUGAG